ACGGGAGGCAGCAGUGGGGAAUAUUGCACAAUGGGGGAAACCCUGAUGCAGCGACGCCGCGUGAAGGAUGACGUAUUUCGGUAUGUAAACUUCUAUCAGCAAGGAAGAUGAUGACGGUACUUGACUAAGAAGCCCCGGCUAACUACGUGCCAGCAGCCGCGGUAAUACGUAGGGGGCAAGCGUUAUCCGGAUUUACCGGGUGUAAAGGGAGCGUAGACGGUGUGGCAAGUCUGAAGUGAAAGCCCGGGGCUCAACCCCGGGACUGCUUUGGAAACUGUCGUACUAGAGUGCAGGAGAGGUAAGUGGAAUUCCUAGUGUAGCGGUGAAAUGCGUAGAUAUUAGGAGGAACACCAGAGGCGAAGGCGGCUUACUGGACUGUAACUGACGUUGAGGCUCGAAAGCGUGGGGAGCAAACAGGAUUAGAUACCCUGGUA
rnacentral:rRNA from 1 species